GCCUUCGUGGUGUAAUGGCCAGCAUGCUCGACGCGUAUUUGAGAGGCUGGAGGUUCAAGUCCCGGUGAGGGCA
rnacentral:tRNA from 1 species